rnacentral:snRNA from 1 species
GGAUGUGAGGGCGAUCUGGCUGCGACAUCUGUCACCCCAUUGAUUGUCAGGGUUGAUUCAGCUGAUCUGGUUGGCUAGGUGGGUGUCCCCUUCCUCCCUCACUGCUCCAUGUGUGUCCCUCCCAAAGCUGUGCACUCGGUCGAAGAGGACAGCCUUUCCCUCUAGAGGAGGUCUGGUCUUCAGUCAAGGGUAUACGAGUAGCUACUCUCCCCUGCUAGAAACUCCAAACAAGCUCUCAAGGUGUCACAUAUACGUCAAAAUUCAUCCAGCUAUACACUUAAGACGUGUGUACUU